AUAAAGACGUUGAAAAAGAAAAGUAUGAAAAAACAUUAUUUAUAGAGAGUCUAGGGUAGGUGAAACUAGAUAAUAAGUUUUUCAGAAAGCUACUUUGGAGUUAUUCGGGAGACCGUUAUCAAAACCAAGACCAACUUUAGGAUGGUACCGGGCAAUAUCUUGUCCUCCUAAA
rnacentral:ncRNA from 1 species